rnacentral:lncRNA from 1 species
GGAGAAACUCUUCCAAGAGCUCCCAGGGCGUCAUAGCAGCCCCCGGCCUCGCCACCUCCCACCCCAGGAGAGGGGCCCGAUCCAUCUCGGCGGAGGGAUCCACUUGCCUCCUCGAGCCUCCGCCCAUUUCUGCUUCUGCUUUUUUUUAAUUUUGCAAGAAAAUAAUUUGACAGCGAUUUGCUGACACUGGGAUUUUGCAUCAGAGAUUACAAGAAAGAAUCCCCCCCAACAAUCUCUUUCCCGAUCACCAGACUGGGCGCGCAAAGGGAGAUCAUGCAAAAGAAGCCAGCUCAGGAAGACAUUAGAAAGUUGAUCUCAAUAAUACAACAACAGGUUGGCACACAAGUGAUCAGUGUCUGCGUGACAGUGAUGGCGACAUUGUAGACUAUACACAAGAGGACCACAUGCCCCACCUCCCAAGCUGGAGGUACCUGGCAUAGUGAGUCUAUUGUUUUCGUUUAAGAUUUGCGUUUUGGACUUUUUCAAAGAUAUGAAGCAGCAUCAAUCUGAAAUUGGAAUUGCAAAUAGACCAGAAGGAGUUAGUCCCUGUAAUGUAAAUGGACAAGCUGAAUAAUAACAAAUUCUAGCAAUUUUUUUUUCAUACUUGGAAUAUCUCAGG